GCUGAUGCGGUGUCUGCAGGCCUAAUAUAUAAAGGAGAAGGGCCAAGAAGAGAAUGAAUAUAAAAGAGAAGACGGCCCAGGAAUUCUGGGUGUUAUUAACUAACUUAGUUGACUUUAUCCUACUAAAGAAUAAGAAAGAGAGGCGACUCAAAGGAAAGGAGUCCGCUGGUAUAACAUUAGAAUCAGGAGUCAGCAGUCAUAAGUAGGUAAGGAAAGAGUCAGCAGUGAGGUUCAACAUAAGUAAGGAAAGAGUCAGCAGUGAGGUUGGAGAACAAGCAUGUUUGGAGUGAUAAGUACGGAAAGUGCAGAAUGUCGUUGCGCAAAAGUCCGUUUGUCGGCGCCAAAGAUGUAAGGCUAUAAAUGCAUUAGAACAGCUGGACAAAGGCAAGAUAGGUAAUUCCCCACAGAAGAUUUGUUUACCAUAGCUUCAACUUAGAGAAAGAAGAGAAGUAUGAUGAAGCCAACACCGAUAACUUAGAGAAAGAAG
rnacentral:lncRNA from 1 species